GGACUGGGUGCACAACAACUGCAGAGCCAUCCCUCUGCACCGGGGAGAGGGGGAGGUUAGCUCUCCUGCUGAGGCUCCCAGAGGCAGUACUUGCCUUUUGAGGUUGCUCAGUAGGGGGUUGAACAAAUGUUUUUGUUGUUUUUGAGAGGGGUGUGUGUCUCAGGAACCCCAGGUUGACCUUGAACUUCUACGUAGCCAGGGAUGACCUUGAACAACUACCUUCCUCCCUCUACCUCCCCAGUAUAGAGGUGUACCCACCAAGUUGGCUUUUAUGCAGUGCUGGAGACUUGAGGUUUUGUGCAGACCUGGCAAGAGCUCUAUCAACUGAACUACUGCCUUAGCCCCGACAGCAAUUCAAAUGAUUUUGUCUUCUAAUUGUCCGUGCUUCCUCCCAGCACCCCUUUUGUGGUUUCUAACCCACAACAAAUGUCCCUGUACCCAGGAUCAGUCAGCAGGAGAGUCCACCCAGCCCUGGCCUGGAUGAAGGCAAGAGACGAGGCUGAGGAGCAGGUCUAAGACGUCUCAGAUUUGUGGAACACUAAGGGACAAGCUCUUCGUUCCUGGAGAAAAAUGGAUGUCUGAGUGAAGACACCUGACUGGUCCCAGGAGCUAAGGAGUGGACAGAACAUGAGCAGAGAGUGUCUCCUGCUUCUUAACCCUGUGUUCAUUAUUUACAGUUGGACAUGUAAGAUGCACCCUGCUUUUUGUCAGACCAACCAACCAACAGCCAACAAGAUUUCAGGAGAAAAACCAGCCCACCCUCCAUAGCAUUCCGAGACUCUGGAAUGUGCAGGCAUUAAUUUUUAGAAGUGGGGACAGCGAUCCUUGAAUCACGGAGGUAACUGGAGAACU
rnacentral:lncRNA from 1 species